rnacentral:rRNA from 1 species
AUUGAACGCUGGCGGCAUGCCUUACACAUGCAAGUCGAACGGUAACGGGUCCUUCGGGAUGCCGACGAGUGGCGAACGGGUGAGUAAUAUACCGGAACGUGCCCAGUAGUGGGGGAUAACUGCUCGAAAGAGCAGCUAAUACCGCAUACGACCUGAGGGUGAAAGGGGGGGAUCGCAAGACCUCUCGCUAUUGGAGCGGCCGAUAUCAGAUUAGCUAGUUGGUGGGGUAAAGGCCUACCAAGGCAACGAUCUGUAGUUGGUCUGAGAGGACGACCAGCCACACUGGGACUGAGACACGGCCCAGACUCCUACGGGAGGCAGCAGUGGGGAAUUUUGGACAAUGGGCGCAAGCCUGAUCCAGCAAUGCCGCGUGCAGGAAGAAGGCCUUCGGGUUGUAAACUGCUUUUGUCAGGGAAGAAAUCUUCUGGGCUAAUACCCCGGGAGGAUGACGGUACCUGAAGAAUAAGCACCGGCUAACUACGUGCCAGCAGCCGCGGUAAUACGUAGGGUGCGAGCGUUAAUCGGAAUUACUGGGCGUAAAGCGUGCGCAGGCGGCUUUGCAAGACAGAUGUGAAAUCCCCGGGCUCAACCUGGGAACUGCAUUUGUGACUGCAAGGCUAGAGUACGGCAGAGGGGGAUGGAAUUCCGCGUGUAGCAGUGAAAUGCGUAGAUAUGCGGAGGAACACCAAUGGCGAAGGCAAUCCCCUGGGCCUGUACUGACGCUCAUGCACGAAAGCGUGGGGAGCAGACAGGAUUAGAUACCCUGGUAGUCCACGCCCUAAACGAUGUCAACUGGUUGUUGGACGGCUUGCUGUUCAGUAACGAAGCUAACGCGUGAAGUUGACCGCCUGGGGAGUACGGCCGCAAGGUUGAAGCUCAAAGGAAUUGACGGGGACCCGCACAAGCGGUGGAUGAUGUGGUUUAAUUCGAUGCAACGCGAAAAACCUUACCUACCCUUGACAUGUCAAGAAUUCUGCAGAGAUGUGGAAGUGCUCGAAAGAGAACUUGAACACAGGUGCUGCAUGGCCGUCGUCAGCUCGUGUCGUGAGUUGCUGGGUUAAGUCCCGCAACGAGCGCAACCCUUGUCAUUAGUUGCUACGCAAGAGCACUCUAAUGAGACUGCCGGUGACAAACCGGAGGAAGGUGGGGAUGACGUCAGGUCCUCAUGGCCCUUAUGGGUAGGGCUACACACGUCAUACAAUGGCCGGUACAGAGGGCUGCCAACCCGCGAGGGGGAGCCAAUCCCAGAAAACCGGUCGUAGUCCGGAUCGUAGUCUGCAACUCGACUGCGUGAAGUCGGAAUCGCUAGUAAUCGCGGAUCAGCUUGCCGCGGUGAAUACGUUCCCGGGUCU